rnacentral:rRNA from 1 species
GACGAACGCUGGCGGCGUGCCUAAUACAUGCAAGUAGAACGCACAGUUUAUACCGUAGCUUGCUACACCAUAGACUGUGAGUUGCGAACGGGUGAGUAACGCGUAGGUAACCUGCCUGGUAGCGGGGGAUAACUAUUGGAAACGAUAGCUAAUACCGCAUAAUAUUGAUUAUUGCAUGAUAAUUGAUUGAAAGAUGCUAUUGCAUCACUACCAGAUGGACCUGCGUUGUAUUAGCUAGUAGGUGAGGUAACGGCUCACCUAGGCGACGAUACAUAGCCGACCUGAGAGGGUGAUCGGCCACACUGGGACUGAGACCCGGCCCAGACUCCUACGGGAGGCAGCAGUAGGGAAUCUUCGGCAAUGGACGAAAGUCUGACCGAGCAACGCCGCGUGAGUGAAGAAGGUUCUCGGAUCGUAAAGCUCUGUUGUAAGAGAAGAACGGGUGUGAGAGUGGAAAGUUCACACUGUGACGGUAUCUUACCAGAAAGGGACGGCUAACUACGUG